CCCUGGAGGGUCACCCAAGGAAAGAGUUCGUUCCAAAGACAGGUGCUCCUCUGAGUUCCUCUGGAAUCUGGCAAGGUGCCGAGCUUGGACGCAAGGCUUCCAUGAGGCUGUGAAGGAGGUUGCACGGAAACUGGUGGGGAUCUGAAAAGCUUUUAGUGGCCUCGCCACACACAGCACUUCAGAUGCUCAGGUGAUGAGCAACAUUUUCCAAACCCAGCUAGUGAGCACCCCACCUCCUCUGGCUUCCAGAACCUGGUGUGGAGGGCCAGGAGAGGCUUCGGGACUGAAGGGCAGAGCAGCAGACUCCGGGGCUCAUGUAGGAAGGAACAUGCCUUCAGCCAAAGAUUAUCCACGCUGCAUGGAGACUCUUGCUAAAUAUCACUGGUAAAUGCACAAUUAUGUCCCAUUUAGAGAUCUCUAGCAGAGUGUCUUGUGUUUGAUGGAUUUGUCCUGCAUUUAAUUAUAACUUCCUGCUAAAGCUCAGAUGUUUUCUUUCAGGGACAAAUGCAGUGGCUUAAUUUCAUUCAAUCAUUUACUGAGGAUCUGAAAUGCAUGCGGUUAGUGGUGAGAAUACUGACUCAGGGCUGUCCCUUCCUCUGGAGUUGACAGCCGACUGCGCAGGAAGGGAAGGUGAGGGUCAAACACACAGGUCAACAUCAGAAACAGCACUUCCGCCUUCCAUUGGCCCCGAUGUUU
rnacentral:lncRNA from 1 species